UUAAUGUAGUUGCAGCACAGACUUCAACUUAUUUAGAAAGCUAACUCACAUGUUACAUAAUAUUUUUAAUGAUUUUUCUCAACCACAAACUUGUAUACAAAUGGAAAUCCAAAAACACAUGAAAUAAAAUUAGAAUAACAACUUAAAGUUAACUGAAAAUUGUGCCUUGCUUGGGUUGUUCAACUUGUCAUUUAGAGGAGGCCAAUCAUCUUUUUCUUUCAUUCACCAUCAUCUUCCAUAAAUGUCAUUAUUUUGUGUAACAUCAAUUUGUCCAACCAAUGAAUUUAUUUAUGCCUUGUUAUAGCGAUGAGUUGGGGCAAUCAUCUUCUUUUGGGAAGAAGGUUCACAGGAGAUUUUAUCGAAUAAUGUGGAUAAGGGAGAGCUAUACAUGUCUAUGAUUGUAGAGAAGGCAAGAAGAAUAAAAAUCGAGGAAGACUGGACAAUUUUGCAAUUUCCUAGAUGAAAAGGAAACCCUACAUGCAAUUAAGCUUAAUUAAGGAAAGCAUUUGUAGAAAGAACUCUAGAAGCCCAAAUUUAAGAGAUAGUUUGAGUUCCCUUUCCACGAAGAUGCUGCCACACAUUUUGAAGUGAAUAUGAUGAGGGAAGAACUUGCUUACAUCUUCAAGGAUUUAAAAAUAAGCUGCAUUGUAAGUUACGAUCUUUUCGAAGAAUCACCAUGAUGAAUUCAUAGAGUUCAGGACAAAACUAAUGGCAUUAGAAGCCACCGAUACUAUAUUGAAGGUGAGACCAUCUAAGAAGAUUAAAGCGAAAUCAAUCUGAAGAAUUUGAAGAUUCAGCCUUGGAGAAAUAUUUAGAGGCAUUUCUUUUAUGAAGACUGAUUUCUUAGAGCUAGA